GAUGGCACAGUGAGGAGAGAGGCCCUCCUGCCGCUACACACUCCUGAGCCUGCCACACAAGCAGCGGGCUUUCCAUCCACCCAGCUGAGACCCCCAGGCACAAGUGGGAGCCCACAGAAACAGCGGAGGACGACGCGAGGACGCGUGGGAGAGGGGGCUUCAAAGGAAGUCUGGGGGAAUCGAGAAAGGCGAGAGAAGACAUUUUCCCAAAUGCAAGCAAAAAAGGACGGGCAGGGAUGAAAUGCAAAGCCUGCGGAGACGCUGAACUUAGGAACCGAUCAGCAGGACGGAGGAAGUGGGCCAAGAAGGGGAAGGCGGCAGGGUGGAAGGCCGAGAGAGGAGCAGGUGUGGAGAGGAGGCUGAGGCCGGAAGAGGCAGGGGGCCGGGCCCAGCAGUUCAUCCAGAUGGUUUGCCCCGGUAGCCAUGGAUGUGCUGGGCUCCUGCAGUACAGAUGUCUUGGACCGGAGUGUUCUGCACAAGGUGGGAUGUGGAUCAUCUCGGGUCCCUGUCAUUUAGAUGUGGUGUCUGCAGAUGCCCCCUCAUCUCCAAGUAUGCCCAGGUAAUGGCUACCAAGGAAGGAUCUGUUAUCCCUAGCAUAUCCACAGGAACACACACACACACAAUCCACAAGGGCAGAGCUGAUGGCCAACAGACUGUCCCAGAGAACAGAGGCCUGGGCCAGGGCUCUCGGGUGCGCUCACUCAAUUCUGUUGCGAGUUGGAGGGUUUGUUUGUUUGUCUGUUUGUUUGUUUUGGGACGGAGUCUUGCUAUGUAGUCUAGGCUGGCUUUAAACUCACUGUGAUCCCCCUACCUCAGCCUCCCAAGUUCUGGGAUUACAAGUGUGUACCACCACACUCUGCUGGAGGACUUGUUCUUAUUACCUCCUAAAGAAGGAAACAGUUUCCUUACAUUUGUGCUUAGACACACAUAAGGCCAGGUUCAGUGGCACACACCUAUAGAGACUUAGCAAAACCAGGUCUCAAAAAAAGGAGGGGGAGAGGGGGAAGGGGAGGAGGAGACAGGAGGAGAAAGAGGAGGGGGAGGG